GAUGAACGCUGGCGGCGUGCCUAAUACAUGCAAGUCGAGCGAACAGACGAGGAGCUUGCUCCUCUGACGUUAGCGGCGGACGGGUGAGUAACACGUGGAUAACCUACCUAUAAGACUGGGAUAACUUCGGGAAACCGGAGCUAAUACCGGAUAAUAUAUUGAACCGCAUGGUUCAAUAGUGAAAGACGGUUUUGCUGUCACUUAUAGAUGGAUCCGCGCCGCAUUAGAUAGUUGGUAAGGUAACGGCUUACCAAGGCAAGGAUGCGUAGCCGAAGUGAGAGGGGGAUCGGCCACCCGGGAACUGAGACACGGACCAGACUCCUACGGGAGGCAGCAGUAGGGAAUCUUACGCAAUGGGCGAAAGCCUGACGGAGCAACGCCGCGUGAGUGAUGAAGGUCUUGGGAUCGUAAAACUCUGUUACUAGGGAAGAACAAAUGUGUAAGUAACUAUGCACGUCUUGACGGUACCUAAUCAGAAAGCCACGGCUAACUACGUG
rnacentral:rRNA from 1 species